CCUACGGGAGGCAGCAGUGGGGAAUUUUGGACAAUGGGGGAAACCCUGAUCCAGCCAUCCCGCGUGAGUGAAGAAGGCCUUCGGGUUGUAAAGCUCUUUCGGAAGUGAAGAAAACUUAUUUCGUAAUAUGUUAUGAGUAUGACGGUAACUUUAGAAGAAGCACCGGCUAACUACGUGCCAGCAGCCGCGGUAAUACGUAGGGUGCGAGCGUUAAUCGGAAUCACUGGGCGUAAAGCGUGCGCAGGCGGUUUUGUAAGUCAGAUGUGAAAUCCCCGAGCUUAACUUGGGAACUGCGUUUGAAACUACAAGACUAGAGUGUGUCAGAGGGGGGUAGAAUUCCACGUGUAGCAGUGAAAUGCGUAGAGAUGUGGAGGAAUACCAAUGGCGAAGGCAGCCCCCUGGGAUAACACUGACGCUCAUGCACGAAAGCGUGGGGAGCGAACAGGAUUAGAUACCCUGGUAGUCCACGCCCUAAACGAUGUCAACUAGUUGUUGGUGGAGUAAGAUCCAUGAGUAACGUAGCUAACGCGUGAAGUUGACCGCCUGGGGAGUACGGUCGCAAGAUUAAAACUCAAAGGAAUUGACGG
rnacentral:rRNA from 1 species